rnacentral:rRNA from 1 species
GAUGAACGCUGGCGGCGUGCCUAAUACAUGCAAGUCGAGCGAACAGACGAGGAGCUUGCUCCUCUGACGUUAGCGGCGGACGGGUGAGUAACACGUGGAUAACCUACCUAUAAGACUGGGAUAACUUCGGGAAACCGGAGCUAAUACCGGAUAAUAUAUUGAACCGCAUGGUUCAAUAGUGAAAGACGGUUUUGCUGUCACUUAUAGAUGGAUCCGCGCCGCAUUAGCUAGUUGGUAAGGUAACGGCUUACCAAGGCAACGAUGCGUAGCCGACCUGAGAGGGUGAUCGGCCAUACUGGAACUGAGACACGGUCCAGACUCCUACGGGAGGCAGCAGUAGGGAAUCUUCCGCAAUGGGCGAAAGCUUGACGGAGCAACGCCGCGUGAGUGAUGAAGGUCUUCGGAUCGUAAAACUCUGUUAUUAGGGAAGAACAAAUGUGUAAGUAACUAUGCACGUCUUGACGGUACCUAAUCAGAAAGCCACGGCUAACUACGUG